UACGAAGGGGGCUAGCGUUGUCGCGAAUUACUGGGCGUAAAGGGCUCGUAGGCGGCCAACUAAGUCAGACGUGAAAUCCCCGGGCUCAACCCGGGAACUGCGUCCGAUACUGGCAGGCUUGAAUCCGGGAGAGGGAUGCGGAAUUCCAGGUGUAGCGGUGAAAUGCGUAGAUAUCUGGAGGAACACCGGUGGCGAAGGCGGCAUCCUGGACCGGCAUUGACGCUGAGGCGCGAAAGCUAGGGGAGCAAACGGG
rnacentral:rRNA from 1 species